UUCCAGAGGCCAAUGACCGCCAGCCAUCAUCGUCAUCAUCAAUGUAAACAAUGUGACAGGGAAGGGCGGCGGCGUUACCUUACGGUGUGUUCGUACCCUAUCCCUCCGUUGCCCCUCACGGUUGGUGGUGACUGCAGGGGUGGAGUAGAAUCUGGAGUGUUAAGCCAAGCAGAAGAGCAGGAAGAAGCAGGAAGUAGAACACAUGAAGACACACCUUUAUUACCGUUCAGUCUACAGAAGCAGGAAGCAGGAGCAGGUGACAGCAGAACACAGCACACACAAUUACCAUCAUCACUGAGUCUACAGGAAGCAGACCACAGCAACACACACCGCCCAUGACAGUGUACAGUGCUGUGGCCUGCUCUCCUUCACCAGCAAUGGACUUCUCUAUGUCAUCAGAUAUCGUGCUGGAGCUGCUAGAGGUGGCCAUUAAUCUGAUCCUGUACACUCGGGAGAUCUAUCCACAGGCUGUCUUUCAGAGGAGAAAGAAGUACAACAUCCCAGUCCAGAUGUGCAUUCACCCUGGGCUGCAGUCGUACAUCAGCGAGUGUGUGGGAUCCCUACGGCCAGUGCUGGAGAAGGGGGAGGUGCAGAAGGUGGUGCUGGUGGUGUUGUCUGCCCAGGGAACACCAGUCGAGAAGUUUAUCUUUGAAAUUGUGCAACAUCCAACGCGGCCACAUGACAUUAAGCAAGACCCACACUUGACCCGCAUGGAGGAGGCCCUGAGAGCUUUUUGCCUCAAGCUUAGCAUCAGCGACUCCCUCCUGCAGCCCCUCCCGCCAGACUGUUCCUUCGUCAUGCAGAUACAAGUACCUGGCCAUGUCCCUGCAGCCCUGAGCUCAGCCCCUCAGCACCAGGAGUUCCCGUGGGUGGAGGCGGAGAAGGAGCAGGUAGAGGUGAGCAGUCCACACCUGGUGCCACUGAAGACACUGAGGACAGAGGUGUGCAAGAUGCAGCUGUAUGUGGAGGAGAGCGCCUCAAAGACUGCCCCAGCCACAUCCACCUCCCACUGACACACACACACACACACACACACACACACACACACACACACACACACACACACACACACACACACACACACACACACAUUCUCUCUCUCUCUCUCUCUCUCUCUCUCUCUCUCUCUCUCUCUCUCUCUCUCUCUCUCUCUCUCUCUCUCUCUCUCUCUCUCUCUCUCUCUCUCUCUCUCUCUCUCUCUCUCUCUCUCUCUCUCUCUCUCUCUCUCUCUCUGACAGCUGCUUUUGUUUUGAGAGGAGGUUGUGAAGAAGAGAACAAUGAGGUGGAUGAUGGCUGUGUUAAUGGCUGUGUGUUGAAAAGACUGCCUCAAAAAACUGCCCCAGCCAUGUCCACCUCCCACUGACACACACACACACACACACUCACACACACACUAUUUGACAGCUGUUUUGAGAGAAGGUUGUGAAGGAGAGAAGAGAACAAUGAGGUGGAUGAUGGCUGUGUUAAUGGCUGUGUGUUGAAAAGACAGCCUUAAAAACUAACGCAGCCUCUCACUCCCACUCACCGACACUCACUCUCUCUCUGCCAGCUGUUGGCAUUUUGAGAGGAGGUUCUGAAGAAGAGAUGAGAAUGAUGAGUGGAGGAUGACUGUGUAAAUGACUGUGUGUGUGGAAAAGACUGCUUCAAAAACUGCCCCAGCCUCUCACUCCCACUCACUCUUCUCUGUCACGGCUGCUAUUUUAAGACCCGUUGGAGAGAACAGUGUUUUCAUUAUGAGAGACAAGGUUGGAAGGAAUAGGGAUGAGAAUACUGAGGUGACUUCUGGGGGUGUGUGGAAGACAGUGCCUCAAAAACUAACCCAGCCUCUCCUCUCUUUCACAACUUUUGUUUGAGAAGAGAGAAAGGUGGAAAGAAUAGAGUUUUGUUAUGAGAGGAGGAGGUUGGAAGGAACAGGGAUGAGAAAAUCCUGACUCCUGCACUCUUUGUUUUGAGGGGACAUUAGAAGGAAUGAAAAAUUAUUAGAAGGAACAAAAAUAAGAAUGAAAUGAAUAAUGGCUGUAUCAUUGAGAAAACACCUACAAAAUGAAGAAUAUAAGGACAGCAGGAGUGGCAUGCAUUGUGGAAGUGAUAUAUAUAUAUAUAAAAAAUGAGAUGGUCACACAGAAGAGAAAAACCUGAAGCCUGAAGAAAACUAUGAGGAAGGAAGAUUGAGGGAAAGACAGAGAGUGAGAUGGAGGGACAUUACUGAGGUAGAACACCAAAGGAUGGGAGGCACAGAGGAAGAUGCAAGGGACAGAAACAUAGGAAGGAGAUUUGUGCAUGGUGCCAACUCCACACUCUGGGGAAGAAGCCAAAGGAGAACAAGAAGUUUUAUUUUAAGACUGAAAGGGCAAGAGGCAAACCCUCGCACCGCUUCAGUCCUUGCACGACCAUCAGGCACUCAGCUGAAUGCCAAGGCAAGAAGUAAACCCCGCAUCGCCUCAGUCCUUGCACGACCAUCACGCACUCAGCUGAAUCACAAGUAGGUUUGCCGCGCCUCUCGUAGUAGUAGUAGUAGUAGUAGUAGUAGUAGUAGUAGUAGUAGUAGUAGUAGUAGUAGUAGUAGUAGUAGUAGUAGUAGUAGUAGUAGUAGUUCAUCCAAAAUCCCUAUUGUUAUUAUUAUUGUUAUCAUCGUUAUCAUUGUUAUCUUUAUUUGUAUUUGUUUUAAUUCGUAUAUCAAAACUGCAUUCGUUACCUGGCUGAACAAACUCUUAUAAGGAAAUAACUACGCUAAAUAUUCAUUCGCUGUACCGGACAUUAUCAUUUCACUAUCGUGCGCUGCAAUACAAAGAGAAAAGAAAAAACAAAGAAAACGCACAAAACGUCUCAGUAGCCCCGCCCAUUGCCUCUGGCAUCACGAGUUUGGUGCGCGGUGAUUGGUGGAGACGCUGCCGCCUUGCAUGCUGUAGGUGAGAUUAUGCUUAUGUCACAACACAACCUUGGAUAAGCGGAACGCGGCGUGGAGGAGAAAGGAUAGAAUUGCAACCUCCCUCUCUCCACACACACACACACACACACACAUUGAAGUCAGCGUGGAGAAGGCAACACAGCCUCCCUCUCUCCACACACACUGAAGGCAGCGUGGAGAAGACAACACAGCCUCCCUCUCUCCACACACACACACACACACACACACACUGAAGGCAGCGAGGAGAAGGCAACACAAAAGAACAAGACGCACACACGCCACGUUGCAAGACACAAGACUCGCCAAACACUCCCAAGCAGUCAAGUCCUCAGCCUAAGAUGAGGUUACCUGCUGUCCCGCUGGUGGUGGUGGUGCUGCUGCUGCUGUUGGUAGGGCUGCCGUCCCCACACUCCAGGCAGGGCGUGCGGCCAGGACACGCCACUUCGAUACAAGAGGGCGUGCCCUGCCAGAGACACCACACCCUGGGCAGUGACGGCACCUGCUACUCCACCAGUGUGCCAGACGUGGAGGGUCUUUACACAAUGGACCCCGCCACACUCAUAAACCGUUAACUCACAAGCACGUGAAUACACUCACACGCAGCGCUGUACAGCACACCCACCACACACACACACGCACACCCGCACACAUCAGCACACGCACAGGCACGUACGCCGUCACACCGUCACACACACAAGAAACGUACACCAUCACACGUACACGCACACACACCAUCACACGCACACCCACACGCACUCCACGCGAGUGUCGGCGCGAGUGCCUGACUACUGAAGGAAGGAAGGAGUGAAGUGUUUCCUGCGUGGCUCAUGCGGUGUGGAACUCCUUCAGGGACUCCUUCAGUGCCUUCAGUGAUUCCUUCACUGCCUCCUUUAGUGACUCCUUCAGUGCCUCUUUCGGUGAUCCCUUCAGUGCUUUCAGUGCCUCCUUCAUUGCCUUCAGUGACUCCUUCAGUAACUCAUUCAGUGUCUUCUUCAGUGACUCCUUCAGUGCCUCCUUCCGUGCCUUCAGUGCCUCCUUCAUUGCCUUCAGUGACUCCUUCAGUGACUCAUUCACUGCUCCCUCAGUGCCUUCAGUGCCUCCUUCAGUGAUUCCUUCAGUGACUCCUUCAGUGCUUCCUUCAGUGACUCCUUCAGUGCCUCCUUCAGUGAUUCCUUCAGUGCCUUCUUCAGUGCCUCCUUCAGUGCCUUCUUCAGUGCCUCCUUCAGUGCCUCCUUCAGUGCCUCCUUCAGUGCCUCCUUCAGUGACUCCUUCAGUGCUUCCUUCAGUGCCUCCUUCAGUGACUCCUUCAGUGCCUUCUUCAGUGCCUCCUUCAGUGCCUCCUUCAGUGACUCCUUUAAUGCUUCCUUCAGUGCCUUCUUCAGUACCUCCUUCAGUGACUCUUUCAGUGACUCCUUCGGUGACUCCUUCAGUGCCUCUUUCAGUGACUCCUUCAGUGCAUUCUUCAGUGUCUCCUUCAGUGAUUCCUUCAGUGAUUCCUUCAGUGCUUCCUUCAAUGCUUUCUUCAGUGACUCCUUCAGUGGUUUUUAGAGAGAGAGAGAGAGAGAGAGAGAGAGAGAGAGAGAGAGAGAGAGAGAGAGAUUGCAAUUUGGAAAAAAAAAAAAAUAACAACCGUGUAAUAAAAAAAAAAAAACUUAAAUAGAAAAAUUAAAACAGAGUGGAAAAAAAAAUUAAGUGACAACAAUCUACAGGGUGAACAAAAGAAUACACCAAACACAGUGUGGAAAAAAGUGCGCAGUAAUAUCUAUGUAGAGAGUGAGAAAAAAAAUAUCUACAGGGUGAAAAGAUAAGAAAAUAUUCACUUCUACCGUAUGAUACAAAAAAAAACUAGUGGCAGCUACAGUAUGAAGCAGAAUGUUUAUUUCUUAGUUCACAAAUAAAGAGUUCCAAAAUUAAUACAA